rnacentral:rRNA from 1 species
CCCUUAGAUGUCCUGGGCGGCCCGCGCGCUACAAUGUCAGCUACUGAAGGUUAAUGCUUUGAAAGAGAGCGCGCUCUCCUUUUAAUUGCUCGCAUGCUGGGAUAAAUGAAUGCAAUUUUGUUUUGAACGAGGAAUUCCUAGUAGCCAUGUUUCACUAGAAGAUGGCGAGUGCGUCCCUGCCCUUUGUACACACCGCCCGUCGCUCCUACCGAUGAGCGUUUUGGCGAAGACGGUUUGAGUAGCUGCGUAAUUUCGUGUUGUUGACUCCGGCAGUUUGAGCCUUCACGUUUAGAGGAAGGAGAAGUCGUAACA